rnacentral:lncRNA from 1 species
CGCGUGCGUUGGGGCCUCAGCCUUUAUCUCCACUCUGCGGAGAUUCACGCCUGGAAAACGCUCUUCUGAGAGGAUCUGUGGAGGUCAACCCAGGAGAGAGAAGACAGGACUGAAGCACUGAAAGGGUCCUGCCGUUAAGGGCGCAGGAUUGUAUAGAAUAUAUAAUAGCAGUAGCAGCUCUGUUUACGGAGCAUUAACCUUACGUGGAGUUAUUUCCUGCAUUUCCUCCUUUCGUCUUUACAAGAGAUUGGGUCUCUCCACAUUGCCCCGGCUGCUCUCCAACCCCUGAGUUCAAGUGAUUCACCUCCCUUGGCCUCCCAAAGUACUGGGAUUACAGGCGUGAGCCACCGUGCCUGGCUGAGAAGAUGGAUUUAAGACAUAUUUUGGAGGUAACAUUGUCAGGACUUCCUGAAGGAUUAGAUGUGGAAGGGAAGGAUAAGAAACAGACCAAGGAUAACUUUCAAAUGUAUGCUUAAGCAACUGGAUGGAUAAUGAUGCCAUUGAGUGAGUGAAAAACUUGAUGGAAGUGGAAGAUUCAGAGUUCAUUUCUAUCUAGGUUAAUUUGAGACAUACCAGAGCAUAAGUUAAGUAAGUAAUUGAAUAUUGGAGUGGAGACUUAUUUGUCUACCGAAUUAUUGUUUUCUUUGUCGGACAUACACCUACACUGCAUUCCUCAAAGUAAAAUUUAAGUGUGGCUCUGUGCCUAUGCUCUCCCCAGCGGAAAGUGACCAGAAGAGGUGUGCAGUUUCCAGGCCUGGCCCAUACAGACCUCCAACAGGUGCUCCCCUGUGCUGUUACUCCUUCUGCCAACUGGAAGCAGAUGGUGACCAGGCUCUGGAGAAGGCAAGGCCUGAAGAUGGGAGAUUCCUAAGUGGAGGAGAACUGUGCCUUACUGACCUAAAUAUCCACUCAGUAUUGUUAUGUGAGAAUAAAUAAACUUGUG